CUGUCUUUGCAGAGAUGUGUUCCCUCCAGUCACCAUCAAAGGAGCUUUAGCCCCAGGCGGACUUGUUUUGCAUCCGGCUGAAAGAAACCACUGGUCUCCACUAGCCAACCUCUCCCUGCCCUCAGGGGAGACCAGGUACCAACCAGCCCAGCAGCGACAAGGAAAUGCAAAUGGCCCUGGAGGCAGACACCACAGCCUCCCCGGAAGGAAAGGCUCCAGGAAGGAGAGAAAGGACAAAGCAAGGAUAACAGUCUGCAACAAAGGAAGAAGAGGUGCAAACGCCCAGCAAGAAGAACAAUAGAAAGGAAGGGAAGCAGAGCAUUGUUCACGCCUCCGCUGAGAGAUCAGCCCCUUGUUAAACAGUGAUGCUCCCCAAAAUAAGGUGAGAAGAUCACUGCAGAUGCAGACUGCAGCCAGGAAAUCAGAAGACGUUUACUUCUUGGGAGGAAAGCAAUGGCCAACUUUGACAAAAUAGUGAAGAGCAGAGACAUCACACUGGCAACGAAGUUCCGUAUAGACAAAACAAUGGUAUUCCCCAUAGUAACCUAUGGAUGCGAGAGCUGGACCAUAAGGAAGGCUGAGCGAAGGAAGAUAGAUGCUUUUGAACUCUGGUGCUGGAGGAAAAUCCUGAGAGUGCCUCGGACCGCAAGAAGAUCCAACCAGUACGUCCUCCAGGAAAUAAUGCCCAGCUGCUCACUGGAGGGAAGGAUAUUAGAGGCAAAGAUGAAGUAUUUUGGCCACAUCAUGAGGAGACAGGAAAGCUUGGAAAAGAUCACGAUGCUGGGGAAAAUGGAAGGAAAAAGGAAGAGAGGCCAACCAAGGGCAAGAUGGAUGGACAGUAUCCUUGAAGUGACCGGGUUGACCUUGAAGGAACUGGGGGCGGUGACGGCCGACAGGGAGCUCUGGUGUUGACUGGUCCAGGAGGUCACGAAGAGUCGGAGACGACUAAACGACUGAGCAGCAGCAAAGUAUCAUAGUGCAUAAAGUUGCUGUUGUGCACCCUCAUGUCCUUUCCAACCUAAGGUGACUACAGCGCCAUGUUUUCUUGUCAAGAUUUGUAAAUUCAUUACAAAAUAUAUCAAUAUAAAAUAUUACCAUUGAACCAUUAGUAUCAUGAAACAAAAUAGUCCUUUGUAAAAAGAUCCACCAAUGACUGAGAUGUGAGUUUUAUAACAAUUUUUUUUUUAAAAAAACCACAAGCUAUAAGAACAACCCUUCCCUUUCUUCUUUGUUUCCAUUACAGUAGAGUCUCGCUUAUCCAAUGUUCUGGAUUAUCCAGUGCAUUUUUGUAGUCAAUGUUUUCAGUACAUCGUGAUAUUUUGGUGCUAAAUUCGUAAAUACAGUAAUUAAUACAUACCCUGUUUCCCUGAAAAUAAGACAUCCCCAAAAAAUAAGACCUAGUAGAGGGUUUGCUGAAUUGCUAAAUAUAAGGCCUCCCCUGAAAGUAAGACCUAGCAAAGUUUUUGUUUGGAAGCAUGCCCAGCGCCUGCCAAACAAACACCAGAGCAUGCAGGAUUGGCAAAUGUACAUACCAGUUGUACAUGAAAAUAAAGGUACAGUAGUAACAAUAAAUUCUUGACAGGAGUCACAGUUUGUUUGGUUUGGUUAUGUUGGUUUGUGAUAACAACUACUGUACAGUAUAUAAUAAAUGUUCAUUUUUUUGUUCAACAAUAAAUGUGAAUUCUUCUUCAUGGAAAAAUAAGACAUCCCCUGAAAAUAAGACCUAGCAUAUCUUUGGGAACAAAAAAUAAUAUAAGACACUGUCUUAUUUUCGGGGAAACACGGCAGCAUUACUGAGUAUUGAACUACUUUUUCUGUCAAAUUUUUUGUUAAACAUGAUGUUUUGGUGCUUAAUUUGUAAAAUCAUAACCUAAUUUGAUGUGUAAUAGGCUUUUCCUUAAUCCCUCCUUAUUAUCCAAUAUAUUCGCUUAACCAACAUUCUGCCGGCCCAUUUAUGUUGGAUAAGUGAGACUCUACUGUAUAUGAUAUCUAAACUUUACUUUUCGUCUGUGGCAUCUGUUUGAGGUUUUGCUGCCCAAUUAUUUAAAAAAUAAUUCAAAACAUGGUUGAGCCCUGUGCAUUCAAAUAUAAGUAAUAUCCAAUUUUCUGGUUUGGUUUUUUAACAUGUUCUUGCCUUCCUCUGAGUCUGAGCAAGUGACUUGCCCAAAGUCACCUGGUACUAAAUAAGGUGUUUCCAAUGCUUUUAUAAACAACUACACCACACUAUUAUUUGGAUACCCGAGACAGGGGGGGAAACCUAACUUUAAUCUUUGCAAAGAAAAGGAGAUUUCAGCAGGUGAAACUUGUGUGACAAAUGCCACUGCUGAAAUUAAUGUAUCACUGUUAAAGGUAGAAGAGCCCUGUAUUUUCAAAAUCUUAAAAGUAGGGUGGAGUUGUUUUCUCAGGAUAUAAACUAAUCUCCCUAUGUAACCACAAAUAAGCAGCUGCCAUUCAAACGAUAUCUUGCAGUCAUGAGAAAUUAAAGAAUGACAUACAAAGAAGUUCUGCUUCAGCUUUUAUUAAUACCCUCCAGAGUGUCUGGUCCCCCCCCCCCAAUUAGUCUGAGAACAAAUGUCUGUUAUUGAUAAUAUUCUUGAGUAAUUACAAGAUUCCAUGAAUAUUCAACUAAACAAUAGUUAUAUACAGUUAAUCUUUCACAUUCACAGGGAUUAGGGAUGUAUGAUCCCUACCAAAGUAGGAAAACUGCAAAUUAAAAAAAACUACUUUAUCUGAUAAAACACCUUUCUAGGGAUCUCUGGGUUCUCCGGUUAUUUUAUUUAUCAUGUCAGAAGCCAACCGAGCGUACAGUUGUAAUGGAUUUAAAAACACAAAGUUAAACAAAACAUGGCAUUAUACAAAACGUCACUUGGCCACUUGGAGUGCCCCUGGUGUUGCUAUAAGAAGGUCCUCCAUGGUCCAUAUGGCAGGGCUCAGGUUGUAAUAGGUGGUCUGUGGUUUGCUCUUCUCCACACUCACAUGUUGUGGACUCCAUUUUGUGACCCCAUUUCUUAAGGUUGGCUCUGCAUCUUGUAGUGCCAGAACGCAGUCUGUUCAGCGCCUUCCAAGUCGUCCAUUGUUCUACAUGCUCAGGAGGGAGUGUCUCAUUCCGUAUCAGCCAUGGCUUAACGUUCUGGGUUUUAGCCUGCCACUUUUGGAUUCUCGCUUGCUAAGGUAUUCUUGCAAGUAUCUCUGUAGAUCUUAGAAAACUAUUUCUUGAUUUAAGGCGUUAGAGUGCUGGCUGAUAUCCAAAUAGGCGAUAGGCUGGAGAUGUCACUGCCUUGGUCCUUUCAUUGUUGACUGCUACUUCUCCAGUGUGACUCUAUGAAGAAGUUGGCUGUAGAAUCAUAUUGCAGCAGAGAGAAGUGUUUGCUCUAGGAAUCUUUAGUCUUCCAACACAACUUUAUGAACAACAACUGUUUGAAUCUGACCACAGAAUUGUUCUGAAGGACUUAAUGAUGACUACAAAAAACAUAUAACUAAAUCCACAAAUGUUCCAAAAAUGAAAACCACAAAUGGGGAGAGCUGAUUGUAUUGCAUAACAAAGUGAUUCUGAUAAGAGUACUGGAUUUUGCUUGGAUUUUCCUACACUAGCUUGAUACUGACACAGUUUAAAUCAAGGAUUUCUUUCACGUACUAUGUAAAUAGUACAAAAACAUGUUGAUUUUCCUUCUUUGGGUUAAUGGCAAUUUUAUGCAAAAUGGUGUCAGGAAUGAUUUGGCUUCUUGGACCAUGUUCUGUUUUUCUAGGAAGAUGGGCUUCUGGCACAGGAUGGAUUGUGCCUCACAGAAGUUGGAAGGAAUGUUUUUGCUGAGAGACUCGCAAACCUGAUCAGGUGGACUUUAAAUCGAGUUUUGUGGGGGAGGGUGCCAAUAUUCUUGUGGGCAGUACUGUAUCAAGGCCCAGAUGAAACAGCCCAAAGGCUAAAGAGAGAAUUCGACAAACAGAACAAGUACCAAGCAGUGAGAUGACAGUAAUAUUGAAUAACCAGCUGGGGGAAUGCCCAUGGCAUUCUGAAAGUCAACCUAUGUGGUUUCAGAUUCAAUAACUUAAUCACGUUAAAACAGCUUUAAAAUCAUGGUUCAUGAAACAAAACCAUGAAUUUUUCCAAAAUGGCUUUGAUGCCUGGGUUAAACGAUGGCACAAAUGUGUACAAAUUGAUGGUGACUGUGUUGAACGGUAAUUUCGUGUAAAGGAUAGUUCAGAUUAUGAUCUGUAGCAACUUCUGCUGUUACAUGUUCAUUCAUAACUUUUUAUGAUACAAGAGGCAAAACCUUUUGACCCACCCUUAUAUAACUGUUUAAAUGUUGACAACUCUCAGAAAGGCAAGAGAAUGAUAUCUCAAGUGCCGAAUUGUGUGCUACCUUCCAGAAGAGUAGCCUGACAGUUUACAUUACAGUUUAAUUCAUGAUGAGCACCUUUUCCGGUUCAAAAUUUUAAAUCUUGGCCAUGUUAUCCGAGAUCUUAUAUCUAUUAGUCACUGCUGAGUCAGCUCUGCUCUUAAAUAAACUCCACAGGGUCAAGGUAACCUGACUUCUGAACCAGA